UGGGGAAUAUUGGACAAUGGGCGCAAGCCUGAUCCAGCCAUGCCGCGUGAGUGAUGAAGGCCUUAGGGUUGUAAAGCUCUUUCAACGGUGAAGAUAAUGACGGUAGCCGUAGAAGAAGCCCCGGCUAACUUCGUGCCAGCAGCCGCGGUAAUACGAAGGGGGCAAGCGUUGUUCGGAAUCACUGGGCGUAAAGCGCACGUAGGCGGAUUGUUAAGUUAGGGGUGAAAUCCCGGGGCUCAACCUCGGAACUGCCUCUGAUACUGGCAAUCUUGAGUUCGGGAGAGGAGUGUGGAACUCCGAGUGUAGAGGUGAAAUUCGUAGAUAUUCGGAAGAAAACCAGAGGCGAAGGCGGCACUCUGGCCCGAUACUGACGCUGAGGUGCGAAAGCGUGGGGAGCAAACAGGAUUAGAUACCCCCGUAGUCC
rnacentral:rRNA from 1 species